AGGAUCAUUACUGAGUUGUUGAAGCGGGCUGCUGCUGGCUCCUUUCGGGGGCAUGUGCGCGCUUGUUCACAUUUCAUCCUUCACACUUGUGCACCAUCUGUAGUUCCGAGCCGAUUAUCAGAGGCGUUCGCUCGCCUCAAAAGCUCGGUUCUAUGUUAUUUCAAUGACUUAGUUCAAUAGAAUGUGUUCACGGGCGUGUACAACGUCUGAUAAUAAUAUAUAUAACUUUCAGCAACGGAUCUCUUGGCUCUCGCAUCGAUGAAGAACGCAGCGAAAUGCGAUAAGUAAUGUGAAUUGCAGAAUUCAGUGAAUCAUCGAAUCUUUGAACGCACCUUGCACCCUUUGGCAUUCCAAAGGGUAUGCCUGUUUGAGUAUCAUGAAAUUCUCAACUCCCCUCGGAUUCCAUCCGUAGGGUGAGCUUGGACUUGGAGGUUUCUGCUGGCGUUCGCCGGCUCCUCUUGAAAUCAUUAGCUUUGAGUUGAUCUCGAUGGCUUGACCGGUGUGAUAAACAUCUACGCCGAUUUGUGCCGUCCUGAGCGACGAACGUCGGAGACGCUCUGGCUUAUAACCGUCUUCACCAGAGGACGACGCCCUGAACUUUUGAUCUCAAAUCAGGUAGGACUACCCGCUGAACUUAAGCAUAUCAAUAAGCGGAGG
rnacentral:rRNA from 1 species